CCCUUAGAUGUUCUGGGCCGCACGCGCGCUACACUGACGAAGUCAGCGAGCAUGUCCUACGCCGACAGGUGCGGGGAAUCUUGUCAAACUUCGUCGUGAUGGGGAUUGAUUAUUGAAAUUCUUGAUCAUCAACGAGGAAUUCCUAGUAAGCGUAAGUCAGCAGCUUGCGUUGAUUACGUCCCUGCCCUUUGUACACACCGCCCGUCGCUACUACCGAUUGAAUGGUUUAGUGAGAUCUUCGGAUUGGCGCCACUGCGGCUCAGCAAUGGGCUCGGUGGAUGCCGAAAAGUUGAUCAAACUUGAUCAUUUAGAGGAAGUAAAAGUCGUAACA
rnacentral:rRNA from 1 species